rnacentral:rRNA from 1 species
AUUGAACGCUGGCGGCAGGCCUAACACAUGCAAGUCGAGCGAGCGGCGGGCGGGUGAGUAAUGCCUGGGAAUUGCCCAGUCGGGGUGGAUAACAGUUGGAAACGACUGCUAAGACCGCAUACGAAUGGAUUGCCCAGGUGUGAUUAGCUGGUGGGGAAGGAAAUUGCUCACCAAGGCGACGAUCCCUAGCUGGUCUGAGAGGAUGAUCAGCCACACUGGAACUGAGACACGGCCCAGACUCCUACGGGAGGCAGCAGUGGGGAAUAUUGCACAAUGGGGGAAACCCUGAUGCAGCCAUGCCGCGUGUGUGAAGAAGGCCUUAGGGUUGUAAAGCACUUUCAGCCAGGAGGCGUUACUCGCAGAAGAAGCACCGGCUAACUCCGUGCCAGCAGCCGCGGUAAUAC